rnacentral:rRNA from 1 species
CGCUGGCGGCGUGCCUAACACAUGCAAGUCGAGCGGGGACAUACGACGGAGUCAAGUUUCGGAUGGAGACGAAGAUGUAUGUUCUAGCGGCGGACGGGUGAGUAACGCGUGAGCAACCUGUCCCUUACAGGGGAUAACACAGCGAAAGUUGUACUAAUACCGCAUGAGACCACGGGAGGACAUCCUCCAGGGGUCAAAGGAGCAAUCCGGUAAGGGGUGGGCUCGCGUCCGAUUAGAUAGUUGGUGAGGUAACGGCCCACCAAGUCGACGAUCGGUAGCCGACCUGAGAGGGUGAUCGGCCACAUUGGGACUGAGACACGGCCCAAACUCCUACGGGAGGCAGCAGUGGGGAAUAUUGGGCAAUGGGGGGAAACCCUGACCCAGCAACGCCGCGUGAGGGAAGAAGGUUUUCGGAUCGUAAACCUCUGUCCUUGGUGAAGAGUGAGAGACGGUAGCCAAGGAGGAAGCCCCGGCUAACUACGUGCCAGCCGCCGC